UACAGAGGUCUCAAGCGUUGUUCGGAUUUAUUGGGCGUAAAGGGUGCGUAGGCGGCUGGGCAAGUUGGAUGUGAAACGCCGCGGCUCAACCCCGGCACUGCAUUCAAUACUGCCCUGCUAGAGCACUAACGAGGAGGCUGGAAUUUACGGUGUAGCAGUGAAAUGCGUAGAUAUCGUAAGGAACACCAGUGGCGAAGGCGAGCCUCUAGAUAGUAUGCUGACGCUGAGGCACGAAAGCCAGGGGAGCAAACGGG
rnacentral:rRNA from 1 species